GACGAACGCUGGCGGCGUGCUUAACACAUGCAAGUCGAACGAUGAAGAAGAGAAACGCGAACUUCGGUUCAAAUUUCACUUCGGAUUAGUGGCAGACGGGUGAGUAACGCGUGAGCAACCUACCUCUUACAAAGGGAUAGCCUCGGGAAACCGUGAUUAAUACCAUAUGACACAUUCAUAAGGCAUCUUAAGAAUGUUAAAGCUACGGCGGUAAGAGAUGGGCUCGCGUCCCAUUAGCUAGUUGGUGAGGUAACGGCCCACCAAGGCGACGAUGGGUAACCGGACUGAGAGGGUGAACGGUCACAUUGGAACUGAGACACGGUCCAAACUCCUACGGGAGGCAGCAGUGGGGAAUAUUGCACAAUGGAGGGAACUCUGAUGCAGCGACGCCGCGUGAGCGAUGAAGGAAUUCGUUUCGUAAAGCUCUGUUCUAUGGGAAGAAAAGGACGGUACCAUAGGAGAAAGCCCCGGCUAAAUACGUG
rnacentral:rRNA from 1 species